CAGUGCGGCGACGGCGACGGCGACGGCGAGAUCGGGAAAUAAGAACUUCAGCCUUCAACGUGCCGCCGCCCCUGACCUCAGCCGGCAACAUCAAGGCACUAGGGACAACAAAUCUGUUGUGUUCAGCUGGAUGAAAAAUUAAAUAUGAUGUUUUAAUCCCCUCCCAAGCCUACAGAAGUUUUAGUUGAAAGCUGAUCCAUCUGCUCCUACACAUUGCCUCACCCACUUUGGAGGUCCAAGAGUGUCCAUUACCAAUAGAUAGCUGUUGAGUUAGCAGAAGCUCUAAUACUAAAUUGUUGAACAAAAAGCUUUUAUUUAAAAUUUGAUUCUUGGAAUUAAAACACUUUACAAACACUGAUGUUUUAACUCACUAACACUAGUGCACUGCACACAGCACCUUUAUUUCACUGCACACACCUCACUUCUUUACUUCUAGACACCUACCUACUAACACUAUGACAAAACCACUCCUUGACCGUCUUUUCUUAACUUUCUGACACACUUCACCUCAUACAACUUCACACAUCUCUCACUUGGUGCUUUAUGACACACACUCACUUCACAAGUCUCCCACACCUACUACAUUACCCUUACUUCACUUCAGCCAUCAUUGCAUCUAUUUAUACUAGAUGUAUGUCGGUUAGGAAACCAACUUGAAGCUUCUAGCUUCUUCCUUUUUAUUGGCACUAAAUUAAUGCCAUUCUCCAACC